rnacentral:rRNA from 1 species
UACAGAGGUCCCGAGCGUUGUUCGGAUUCAUUGGGCGUAAAGGGUGCGUAGGCGGCGGGGCAAGUCGGAUGUGAAAGCUCGGAGCUCAACUCCGAAAUGGCAUUGGAAACUACCUUGCUCGAGGGUUGGAGGGGGGACUGGAAUUCUCGGUGUAGCAGUGAAAUGCGUAGAUAUCGAGAGGAACACCAGUGGCGAAGGCGAGUCCCUGGACAACUCCUGACACUGAGGCACGAAAGCUAGGGGAGCAAACAGG